CUUAACUGGUAGAGCGUGCGCUUUGCAAGCGUAAAGUUGAGAGUUCAAAUCUCUCUAUCUCCA
rnacentral:tRNA from 1 species